UACGUAGGGUGCAAGCGUUAAUCGGAAUUACUGGGCGUAAAGCGUGCGCAGGCGGUUUUGUAAGUCUGUCGUGAAAGCCCCGGGCUUAACCUGGGAAUUGCGAUGGAGACUGCAAGGCUUGAAUCUGGCAGAGGGGGGUAGAAUUCCACGUGUAGCAGUGAAAUGCGUAGAGAUGUGGAGGAAUACCGAUGGCGAAGGCAGCCCCCCUGGGAUAACACUGACGCUCAUGGCACGAAAGCGUGGGGAGCAAACAGG
rnacentral:rRNA from 1 species